rnacentral:rRNA from 1 species
AUUGAACGCUGGCGGCAGGCCUAACACAUGCAAGUCGAACGAGUGGCGGACGGGUGAGUAAUGUCUGGGAAACUGCCCGAUGGAGGGGGAUAACUCCUGGAAACGGUAGCUAAUAACGCAUACCAUCGGAUGUGCCCAGAUGGGAUUAGCUAGUAGGGGGGGUAAAGGCUCACCUAGGCGACGAUCCCUAGCUGGUCUGAGAGGAUGACCAGCCACACGGGAACUGAUACACGGUCCAGACGCCUCCGGGAGGCAGCAGUGGGGAUUAUUGCACAAUGGGCGCAAGCCUGAUGCAGCCAUGCCGCGGGUAUGAAGAAGGCCUUCGGGUUGUAAAGUACUUUCAGCGGGGAGGCGUUACCCGCAGAAGAAGCACCGGCUAACUCCGUGCCAGCAGCCGCGGUAAUUC